rnacentral:sRNA from 1 species
GUAAGAUCUGUGCCUUCCGAAGAGGGUAGAGUCUUCUGGAGGGACAUUACAAAUAAUCAGGCACUCCCAGUGCUGGGAGCUAAGUUCUGUUACAGGGAAGAGAAAGAAACAAUGGGAAUACCAAGGAGGAUAUUUACAGAGGGGGAAGGCUUUGAGCUGAAAUUGAACGGUGAAUAAAGGCUGAGCAGCCAUGUAGAGACGGGGUUCCACCGUGUUAGCCAGGAUGGUCUCGAUCUCCUGACCUCGUCAUCCUCCCGCCUUGGCCUCCCAAAGUGCUGGGAUUACAGGCUUGAGCCACCGCGCCCCGCUCUUUCGUGUUCCAAAGGCUUUUUAAAUAAACUUCCACUCCUGUCCUGGAUUCUGCUUUAUGGCCCUCAGUCGAAUUCUUUCUUCUGAGGAGGCAAGGACUGAAGUUGCUUCUGACCAGUACAGAUUGGGAAGGAGAAAGUCACUUGACUCACAGGCCAACUGCUAUGGACUGAAUUGUGUCUUCCCCUCAUUAAUAUGUUGAAACCCUAUCCUCCCUCCAAUGUGAUGGUAUUUGCAGAUGGGGCUUUUGGGAAGUAAUGAAGUUUAGAUGAGGCAUGAGGGCUGGAUGGAUAUGAUCAGAUGAGUGCCCAAAGAAGAGACACCAGAGAGCUAGCUUCUUCUUUCUCUUUCCACCUUUACACACUGAGAAAAGGCCAAGUGAGCACACACCAAGAAGGCAGCCAUCUGCAAACCCAAGGAGAGAGUCCUCACUAGACACCCUGCUGGUACCUUGAUCUUGGACUUCUAGCCUCCAGAACUGUGAGAAAUAAAUUCCUGUUGUUCAAGCUA